rnacentral:rRNA from 1 species
UACGUAGGGUGCGAGCGUUGUCCGGAAUUACUGGGCGUAAAGAGCUCGUAGGUGGUUUGUCGCGUUGUCCGUGAAAUUCCCGGGCUUAACUGGGGCGUGCGGGCGAUACGGGCAGACUGGAGUACGGCAGGGGAGACUGGAAUUCCUGGUGUAGCGGUGGAAUGCGCAGAUAUCAGGAGGAACACCGGUGGCGAAGGCGGGUCUCUGGGCAGUAACUGACGCUGAGGAGCGAAAGCGUGGGGAGCGAACAGG